rnacentral:rRNA from 1 species
AUUGUACGCUGGCGGCAUGCCUUACACAUGCAAGUCGAACGGCAGCACGGGAGCAAUCCUGGUGGCGAGUGGCGAACGGGUGAGUAAAGUAUCGGAACGUGCCCAGUCGUGGGGGAUAACGUAGCGAAAGUUACGCUAAUACCGCAUACGAUCUAUGGAUGAAAGCGGGGGAUCGCAAGCCCUCGCGCGAUUGGAGCGGCCGAUAUCAGAUUAGGUAGUUGGUGGGGUACAGGCUCACCAAGCCGACGAUCUGUAGCUGGUCUGAGAGGACGACCAGCCACACUGGGACUGAGACACGGCCCAGACUCCUACGGGAGGCAGCAGUGGGGAAUUUUGGACAAUGGGCGAAAGCCUGAUCCAGCCAUGCCGCGUGCAGGAUGAAGGCCUUCGGGUUGUAAACUGCUUUUGUACGGAACGAAAAGGUUUGGGCUAAUAAGCUGAGCUCAUGACGGUACCGUAAGAAUAAGCACCGGCUAACUACGUGCCAGCCGCCGCGGUAA